rnacentral:misc_RNA from 1 species
GUGAAUCAUCGAAUUUUUGAACGCAAAUUGCACUCUCUGGCAUUCCUAAGAGUAUGCCUGUUUGAGCGUCAGUAAAAAUAAAAAUCUUGGUGUUGCGUUGUGGUGACCGACCGAAAUUGGGUUAUCUUUGACCUUUUAAAAAGUUUAAGUCUCAUAAUAUUGAUUUCUUUUGCAUGUCAGACGG